rnacentral:rRNA from 1 species
UACGAAGGGGCUAGCGUUGCUCGGAAUCACUGGGCGUAAAGGCGCGUAGGCGGCCGAUUAAGUCGGGGUGAAAGCCUGUGGCUCAACCACAGAAUUGCCUUCGAUACUGGUUGGCUUGAGACCGGAAGAGGACAGCGGAACUGCGAGUGUAGAGGUGAAAUUCGUAGAUAUUCGCAAGAACACCAGUGGCGAAGGCGGCUGUCUGGUCCGGUUCUGACGCUGAGGCGCGAAAGCGUGGGGAGCAACAGG